rnacentral:rRNA from 1 species
AUGGAUCACGGACUAAAAAUCGUUGUUUGGAAUGUACGUGGCCUCAACUCGCGCGCCCGACGUAGUGCCAUCCGUUCACUGUUGGGCACUACUGGAGCCUCCAUUGUAUGGCUUCAGGAAACAAAGAUGGCUUUGAUCUACUCGCCCACCGUGCUUGACAUUCUCGGCUCCGAGUUUGACGACUUCACAUACCUGCCGGCUGAUGGCACGCGAGGCGGCAUUCUCUUGGCCUGGAAGAGCAGGGCUGUCACGAUCUCCGACCCAAUGUUCACGCGGAACGCGCUCACGGCCAAAGUAUCCGUGGCCUCCGGGACACUGUGGUGGCUGACAAAAGUCUACGGACCCCAAGACGACACGGAUAAAAUCUUGUUCCUCCAAGAGCUUCGCGAUAUUCGGGCGGCAUGCCCCGGCCCAUGGAUGCUAUGUGGUGAUUUCAACCUCAUAUACCGCAACGAGGACAAGAACACGGCUGGCCUGCAUCAGCGCAUGAUGGUUAGAUUCCGCCGCGCCAUCAAUGACCUCGCCCUGAAGGAGAUAUAUCUCAACGGGCGUCGCUUCACAUGGUCGAACGAGCAAUCGCCUCCCACGCUAGUGCACCUUGACCGCGUCCUUUGCAUGUCGGACUGGGAAGAUGCGCACGGCGAAUGCCACCUCCGGUGCCUCGCUUCGGUCAUGUCGGAUCACUGCCCGCUGCUUCUAGAUUGCUCCCCCAUGCCGUCUGCGCACAAACGCUUCCACUUCGAG